UUACACUGUCGCACUGUAUCUUCUUUAAGUAAUGUUUCGAUUGUGUGGUAACUGGUAAAUUGUGGAUUUUGAUGACCCGUGUGAGACUACUGGUGAAAAAACUGAGUUGCUGGGAGCUAAGCAGUUUUGAUGUAUGUCUUGCGGUUUUGGUUCCCUAAGCAUUUGUCCGCUGAGAUGGUUUAGAUUGGCACAGUAACCAGAUCGUGUAUCAUCUUUUUUAGAACUUCUUUAUCUGCACUGGACAUGCGUAUCAUUUUCCGGAUGACAAAGGAUCCAGUUACAUGGUGUGGUUGUGAUAGAGUCAAACACGAGUUGUAGAUGGGGUGUAUAGUUCUGAAAAUAAAGUUUUCUUCUUUUUUGGAGAAUGAAUGUUGGUGAUAGGUUACGAAUCAAAUUUGAAAUAAAUGUUUAGAUCUGACUUUAUCUUGUCAGAGAAUUGAAGAUCAAAUGUAAAAGGGUACUUUAUAAUCUAGAAUGGCUUGUGGAUGAGAAAGAUUGUUGGAAGUACCAAGCAGGGUGCUUGGCUUCAUCUACUUAAAGUAGAUGCACGAUUCGGUCACUUUGGCUGCUUGUUUCCUUCAAUGUACUUAGCCCCGUUUUGUUCUAUCUUUUGGAUAUCUCUUCGUUUGUUUGCUGCUUUCACAUGGUGUCCAAAGCUUCUGCAUGAUAUAGAUAGUUUAAAUGACAAUUUAUAGUUUUUUAUUGAGUGAUGUUCAUCUUUCAUAUAAAACAUCAAAGUCUGUUUUUUAAGAAGUCUGGGCAGGCUGUAUCGCAUGAUGGGCCCAUGUCUUCGUGACUGUUCAACUUUUGUAGCUUUUUUAAGCAAUUAUUCAAUAGUUCUUCUCUGGCCAAAGAAAAAAGAAUCAGUAGUUCCUCAGCAUUUGUAAUUGGCAGUCACCCAUAGCAUGGGGGCAAGGAAAAGGAUCGCUAUCACUUUGGUUAGUUGGCGUGGCUGCACACAAGUGGCCUUGCACUCUAACCUGGUGGAGAUGGAAUUUGAUCCAUACUCUUUUCAACAGCAUCAAGUUUUCUCUGUUUAUGGUUAAAGCUUCUGUUCUCUGCCUUGUGUAUCCUGGCUGGAGCUUGCUCAUCUGGUCCAUAAAAGAGAUGAAUCUGUUUGAAUGUGAUUAUAGGCUCUUUCUUUUCACCAUAACCUGGAAAGUCUUUCUAAUUGGCUAAGCGCAUUUAAUCUUGCCUUCAAGACUUAAAUUGAUGGGAUAUCUUGUCCAACUAUAGGCACAUGCAUCACUCGUUUUUGUGCAGAGCAGCUGGAAAUGUUUUAUGAAGGGUUACAUUAACCCGGUGGAGAUGGAAUUUGACCCAUACUCUUUUUGACAGCAUCAAGUUUCCUCUGUAUAUAGUUAAGCUUUUGCUCAAUUUCAUUGAUGCUUAAAAUUUUACCACUUGUUGAAAUGAUUGUGGAGCUGCCUGUGGAAUUAUCUCUGCCCUUUUCUAUGAGUUACUGCGAACCAUUGGAGUUUGUAGUGGUUCAAGAUGAAUGGUACAUCGAAAAUAGUAUAUUGAUUGU